AUACGGAGGAUCCAAGCGUUAUCCGGAAUCAUUGGGUUUAAAGGGUCCGCAGGCGGUCAAUUAAGUCAGAGGUGAAAGCCCAUCGCUCAACGAUGGAACUGCCUUUGAUACUGGUUGACUUGAGUUAUACGGAAGUAGAUAGAAUAAGUAGUGUAGCGGUGAAAUGCAUAGAUAUUACUUAGAAUACCGAUUGCGAAGGCAGUCUACUACGUAUAUACUGACGCUGAGGGACGAAAGCGUGGGGAGCGAACAGGAUUAGAUACCCUAGUAGUCC
rnacentral:rRNA from 1 species